rnacentral:sRNA from 1 species
CUUGGGUUUGGGGUGUUGCCCUACAUGACUAAUCUGUCUCAAACCUUUCUUGGGUGUGGGGGGCUGCAGGUAUGGGAGAAGGCCCUGAUCUCCUGUGAGACUGGGAAUGUGCCUGUCAUCCCUUUUAGGGUUCCCCGAGGAUUUGACCUGUCUCAACCAGGAAUCAAGGAUACUGGAAUGAGAAAGAAUACAGCCACCCAUGGAGAUCAGAAAGAUAGACACCUUUGGGAUCACCUGCCACACUUUGCAUCUCUGCUUGGAAGACUAUGCUAUUUUAAGGUAUGCUACUAUUCUCUGCAAAC